CUCUUCGCUACGCUCUGUGCUUCACGAUGCUCUCUGUUUACGAGGGAGUUUUCUACAUUGGAGUUUAUGUUACUAACUUAUCAGCAAAUUUUUGCAACUAGGUUUUUUUUGUGGGGUGCCACUAAAUCAAUAUACUAGAUUUUUUCGAUAGAGUAACACUAAGAUUUGCGAAGUUUUUGCUGAGUUGUUUUGUCUAAUAGGAUAUCGCAGUGAAGUGCCUCGUGAUAUCUGGGUUCUGGAGAGCAGAAACUUUCAUGUGCUUAGGUGAGGGAUUUUCGGUUUAAUUUUUAUUUAGUAUCCAAUUUUCCACGGAGCGUGUUGUGCCUAAAUUCUGUUGGUCCAUUUUCUGUCAAUUUUGAAGUUCAAAGCCUGUCAAUUACAACAUCAUAGAAUCAGUUAUUGCAGUCGUCACCUUUGAGAACCAGUAUUAUGGAUAAGGCACUGCGGUCAGGUCGAGCUAGGGUCCAGGGAUAUAAUCUGUGGAGGGAACAGAGACGAUCUGAUGAUUCAAUGCAGGUUUGAGAUUUCCAUUUGUUGUCGAAUAUUUUACGUCGCAAAUUGUGAUUUGUAAGGGUUUUCCUCCAAGGCAUGUAGGAAAGUUUUUUUUUGUGUACUCAAUUCCUUCCGAGGGGCAUAGGAACAUGGCGCUUGUUAUCAUCUGCGGACAACCAUGCAGUGGAAAAUCAACUGCUGCAGCAUGUCUUAUGAAAGAAUUUGAGAAGACUAAUAACAUGCCAGUAGUUCUAAUUGACGAGCCUUCGCUCAAUUUGGAUCGUAAUAGUGCAUAUCAAGAUAUGCCUCGAGAGAAGAACCUGCGCGGGAUGUUGCGGUCUGCAGUUGACCGAGCUGUGUCAAUAGACACUAUUGUCAUUGUAGACUCCCUUAAUAAUAUCAAGGUAUUUUGUUAUGUCGGCCUUAUUGCAUCUCCCCUUCGAUAUCUCCAGGAUAAUUAUCGCAUUUCAGCAACGAUUUCAAUGGGCAGUGAUUUUUGCAGCAGGGUUGCAUAUGUUGCAGAUGAAGCACAAUGCCGCGCAUGGAACGAAGAUAGACGAUUAAAAGCGUUGCCCGCUUACGAAGAUAAAAUAUUUAAUGACAUGGUUAGAAGAUUCGAAAGACCCGAUGGAAAAAACCGAUGGAAUUCUCGUCUUUUUGAACUUCAUCCCGGCAAAGAAGAUAUUCACGAAGACUCUCAAGCUAUUGUUGAAACUGUCAGCUUUCUUACUGGUAAUAAAAAUGUUGGGGGUAGUCGGAACCCUCAAAAGCUGCAACCCACUGUUGCCACACAGAAUCCACGAACCUCGGAGACUAAUUCGCUUUAUGAACUAGAUCGGGCUACACAGGAAAUUGUGUUAAUUGUGGUGGAUGCUCAAGCGCAAGGUGUUGGUGGUUUAGUGCGCAGUGUUAAUCUGGGAGAAGGACUGCCUAUCAUCAAUCUACAGCGGAGUGUAGGCCUACCUGAGCUUCGUCGACUUCGUAGAACCUUCCUCAAAUUGGCUGGGCAGUCAAGCCUGUCAGGACCUCCUCCACUAUCAGUUACGAAAAGCGCCAAACGAAUGUUUGCAGACUAUUUGAAUCGCGAGUUGUAUGCAAAUUUGUUGUAGUGCUCACGGCACAACUCUCCUCUAAGGCACAAGAAAGCGAUAUGGAACCACAGCCAAUGGCAAGAUUGUGCAUAUAGCAACAAAGUUGAUCAAUGGUGGUCAACUUGGUCCUGGGAUUGUGACAAGGGAAGUGGCUACUGCGGCACUUCAAGCUCUUAGCACUGUGCAUGCGUGUGGGCUGCUUUAUGGGUAUGUUGAAGCAAGUAGAGAUUGUAAGAGUAAUAAGAAGAAAAAGUUUUUUGUUUUACUGAAUAAAAUAUUAUUUAAUAUUAUGAAGAUUAAA